rnacentral:lncRNA from 1 species
AAGGGCUUAUAAGUCCCAUUCCAUAAAAAAGAGCAGAGCACCUCGGGGAGAGGGCCUAAGAUGCUUCAGACCCUCUGAGCCCCUUUGUCUGCGUGGAACGGGUCUCUAGUCGCGGGUGGACAAAGCGUAGGAUGAGUGACAAACAGACGCACACAGGAGAGGUCGAGGAAUCUGAAUGUCAUUUUUCAAAUCGAGCAUCAGACUUUUUAUGCAGAAGACAAUAAGGAAGUUGGAUGACAUACCUGCAAGGUACAAAUGAGCUUUCCCAGAUAUCUCUGAAGAUACCAUUUUGAAUAGGACUCACAUCACUCACUGCCUUGGUAGGGUCAUCUUUGUUCCACAAGAGGAAAACUGUCCACGAGAGUUCUAGGAUGGAUUUACCAGCUCUUCUUCUCUCCUGAAGACUGUUGUCCUGCCUAUGCCCAGACCCAUCUACAUCAGAUCUGAGGAGUGAGUCUUCUAAACUAUGAAGGACAUAUUAUAAUAUUCAAUAAACAAUCUGUGGCCUCCAUAUGCACAGAAUGUGAUGCUGGGCAAACAGAGAGCUCUGAGCAAAAGUUCUAAGAAAGAAAGUCUUCUAAUGGAAGCAUCUGCAAGCCUGAUGAACUAAUUUGAACCUCAGUGACCAUGAAGAGUUUGGAAUGUUACAGGUCCAGGGUCUAUUUACAAUUCAUCUUGGGUUAUCUUUAGCUCUCUAAGUAGCCAUUCUUUCCUUAUAUUUGUGUGAACCUAACAUUCUGUGCCUAACAGAUUAAGAAGUCUUUUGGAAUGUAGUAAAUCUGUGGCUUCCACUAAUUGAAAGACUGAGUGUCAUCAGGUAGUACCUGAGCCCUACAGUCAAUACUUCUCUGCAUGUUUUCACUAAUGUACCUGAAAACUGCUUUGAUCUUUUUAGUUUCUUUGUUCUGUUACUAUAAACUAAUUCCACAUUGGAACAUGGAAUUUGACACUACACCCGUGUUCCCAGGCUAUGGUCGCUCUUAUUUGGCUCUGGAAUAAAUUGAAAUGAGAUGUGUGCUUCUGCCUCAACAUUAAAUUUUCUGGUGAUAACCAUUACCCAAAGUGGUUCACAGAAGGUUUUAUCUUGGCUGGGCAAAUCACAGUGGUGGGGGAGACAUGUCAAGGGAGACUGGAGAAGGAAGCUGAGAGAUCCCAUCUUCAACCACAUGUAGAAAGCAGAGUGUAAGGCCUGGAAGUGGGGCCAGGCUAUAAACCCCCAAAGCCCAUCCACAGUUCUGCAAGGAAAGCUUCCAUCCAUGACCUUGCCAGACAAUGCUGGUCGCUGGGGACUGAUGGUGAAGUCCAUGAGUCAGUGAGGGAACAUUUCUUGUUCAAACCAUCACACCAUAUAAAUUUGAGAGACAG